GACGAACGCUGGCGGCGCGCCUAACACAUGCAAGUCGAACGAGCGAGAGAGAGCUUGCUUUCUCGAGCGAGUGGCGAACGGGUGAGUAACGCGUGAGGAACCUGCCCCAAAGAGGGGGACAACAGUUGGAAACGACUGCUAAUACCGCAUAAGCCCACGUCCCGCCAUCGGGUGGAGGGAAAAGGAGCAAUCCGCUUUGAGAUGGCCUCGCGUCCGAUUGGCUAGUUGGGGGGGUAACGGCCCACCAAGGCGACGAGCGGUAGCCGGGCUGAGAGGUUGCCCGGCCACGUUGGGGCUGAGACACGGCCCAGACUCCUACGCGAGGCGGCAGUGGGGAAUAUUGCACGAUGGAGGAAGCCCUGAUGCAGCGACGCCGCGUAGAGGAGGAUGGUCGUCGGAUUGUAAUCUCCUGUUGUUGAGGAAGAUAAUGACGGUACUCAACAAGGAAGUGACGGCUAACUACGUG
rnacentral:rRNA from 1 species